rnacentral:rRNA from 1 species
GACGAACGCUGGCGGCGUGCUUAACACAUGCAAGUCGAACGGUAAGGCCCUUCGGGGUACACGAGUGGCGAACGGGUGAGUAACACGUGGGUGAUCUGCCCUGCACUUCGGGAUAAGCCUGGGAAACUGGGUCUAAUACCGGAUAGGACUCCGGACUGCAUGGUCUGGGGUGGAAAGCUUUUCGGUUUGGGAUGGGCCCGCGGCCUAUCAGCUUGGUGGUGAGGUAACGGCUCACCAAGGCUACGACGGGUAACCGGCCUGAGAGGGCGACCGGUCACACUGGGACUGAGACACGGCCCAGACUCCUACGGGAGGCAGCAGUGGGGAAUAUUGCGCAAUGGGCGAAAGCCUGACGCAGCGACGCCGCGUGAGGGAUGAAGGUCUUCGGAUCGUAAACCUCUUUCAGUAGGGACGAAGCGAAAGUGACGGUACCUAAAGAAGAAGCACCGGCUAACUACGUGCCAGCCGCCGCAGUAA